rnacentral:rRNA from 1 species
UACGAACUGUGCGAACGUUAUUCGGAAUCACUGGGCUUACAGGGUGCGUAGGCGGCUUGUUAAGUAGGGUGUGAAAGCCCCCGGCUCAACCGGGGAAUGGCGCCCUAAACUGGCGAGCUGGAGUGAGAUAGGGGUGUGCGGAACUUCCGGUGGAGCGGUGAAAUGUGUUGAUAUCGGAAGGAACGCCGGUGGCGAAAGCGGCACACUGGAUCUCAACUGACGCUGAGGCACGAAAGCCAGGGGAGCGAACGGG